CCUACGGGGGGCAGCAGUGAGGAAUAUUGGUCAAUGGGCGCGAGCCUGACCCAGCAACGCCGCGUGAAGGCAGAAGGCUUUCGGGUUGUAAACUUCUUUUCUGAGGGACGAAGAAAGUGACGGUACCUCAGGAAUAAGCCACGGCUAACUACGGGCAAGCCGCCGGGUUAAUACGUAGGUGGCAAGCGUUAUCCGUAUUUAUUGGGUGUAAAGGUCGUGUAGGCGGGAAAGCAAGGCAGAUGUGACAACUCAGGGCUCAACCCUGAAACUGCAUUUGAAACUGUUUUUCUUGAGUGCUGUAGAGGCGAUCGGAAGUCCGUGUGUAGCGGUGAAAUGCGUAGAGAUACGGAGGAACACCAGUGGCGAAGGCGGAUUGCUGGACAGUAACUGACGCUGAGGCGCGAAAGCGUGGGGAGCAAACAGGAUUAGAUACCCUAGUAGUC
rnacentral:rRNA from 1 species